GUCUGACCCCUGGGCACCCGCUGGGGGUGCAGCUCCACCAGGCCCAGUGCUCUGGAGCUCCCGCAGACGCCACCUGCCACCACGCAUAAGCCAAGGUGAACAGGCAGCCGCAGGAAGGGCGUCCAGAUGGAAGUCAGGCAUGGCCGUGUGGCUUGCCUGGGCCAAUGAGAUGUCAGCAGAAGUGAUGUAAGUUGCAUCUAAGAAGAAGCUCUAAGAAGCAGUGCACAGCCUGCCUCAAGCCCGAUGAUGCUCCACAUGGCAGAGGCCCCCUCUGCAUCCCAGAGUGAGAAGACAUGGCACAGAGCCCAUUGCCAACACACAGCAGACACAUAGCACGGGUGAGGAAACAAAGUGUGGAAGAGAUCACCAAGGUUACCCAAAGUCAAACACAGAGUAGAGGCACAGACAAGACUCAAAGACAGGUCUGCCCUUUGCUGCAACCCUCCAUUCUGAACAAACCCAGCCAAGCCCCUUACUGCUAACCACUUCAAUUAAAGCCAAUGUCAAGGCCUCCUGGUUUCUAAAUGAACAGCCCUGAUCAUGUUCGUUAAAGGCCCUGUCUGCACAGACUGCUCAUUUUAUCCGAAGCCGCCAACAAGAUAAAUGGCCCUGUAACUUAUUGUUCUGCUGCAAAGCACCUCACGGCAAGCGGCGGCACAGAUGCCAGGAAUAAAUCACAUCUGAUCUUCCGAGAGCCAGGCAGAGCGCCCACGAGGAGUGUCGGAGGCAGGGGAGGUUGGCACAGCCCUGGACCUUGGGGGUUGGAGCAGCCCUGGACCUUGGGGGGAUUCACUAAGGAGCAGAGAGCUGCAGGGGUCUUUAUUAGGGCCCCGGAGCUCUGGAGUAUACAUUGUUCUUUUUUAUCGGCCCAGCACCUAUUUCCCCUUCUUGGGGUUUAAUAGCACCCCUUUUUCUCUGGGAAAACCAUCUCUCCUCCGCUCUCAGUCUGUCUGGUUCCGAUGGGGUCAUCCCUUCUCCCAGUUACAGGGAGGAGCAUGAACACGUGACCUACCCUGGUCAAUCAGAGCUUCACAUUCUUUUGCAGCCAUGACUAGCUCAGAGCAGGCAGGUGACCCACACCAGGCUGAUGGGACCCAAACCUCAGACUUCUGCUGAAACUCUAGGAAAAAAGGAGUUCUCUCUUCUAACAGGUUGCUCACAGAAGGAACUUUUCCGUUGAAUUACCUCAGUUUCUAGCACAAUUACAGGCACAUGGUAGGUGCUUGGUAAAAAUGGGCUGGAUGAAUGAACAAUCCACCUGGAGUUAGCACAGCUGGCUUCUUGUCUGGGCGCAGCCAUCUCUAACUUCAAGACAGCUUCUUCACCUCUGCAGGUCUCAGUUUUCUUGCCUAUAAAAAGGCAUUAAUAACAGCACUUAGCAGUAGCUGAUUAUAUCAGUUAGCUAUUGCUGCCGACAUGCUGCGUAACAAAAGAUUCCCACCUGCAAUCACUCAUUAUCAUUUCCGUGUCUGCCAGUUGGCUGGGAGUCACCUGAUCCAGGCUGGGCUGGGCUGCCCACCUGUCUCUCUUCCUCUUUGGAUCAGCAAGUUAACCCAGGGCCUGUUUGUCUCACCCAGUGACAGAGGCACAGCAUAAUACAAGGUCCCUGAAGGGAUAGGGCCAAUACUAGCACAGCCUCAUUUCCAUUGCCUUCUUAUGGCCAAAGCAAGUCACAUGGCCAGACCUAAAGUCAAGAGGUGGGGAAAUGCACUCUACUUCUUUGCCACCCGGUAAAGGGCACAGAUGUGGGGGGUGGUGAGGAAUUGAGGCUGGCUGUGUACCCCCACAAUGCCAUUGUCUGUGCCUUGAUGUUGACUUGAUCCGUGUCCACCUCCUUCUCCACUAGAAUAAACCUCGGAGCACCUGGAUCUCUGUCUGCUUUGUUCACGGCUGUAUCCCAGCAUCUAGAACGGGGCCCAGGACAGAGUCAAUGCACAGCAAAUCCUUGUGGAAAGCCUGGC
rnacentral:lncRNA from 1 species